rnacentral:rRNA from 1 species
CCGGGUGGCUAUGGCAAAAGGUCCCCACCCGAUCCCAUCCCGAACUCGGUCGUUAAGCUUUUUUGCGCUGAUGGUAGUCUGUCUUAAGGCACGCGAGAGUAAGUCGCUGCCCGGC